UUGAAUUGAAGGAAGUUUACCUUUACUUAUUGUUUUAUGCAACUCAACAUUUUAUUUAAAAGAUGCUUAUGCGACGACUUAUGCUUAGGUAGAAAUUAUACAUUGGAAACAAUUCAAAACUUUUACAUUAGGUAAAAAAAUAGAAAUGAGAGUUGCAGGUAAGUUCAACAAAUAUAAUUAAAAAAAAUGACGAACAAAGGUUUAAUAUAGAAGGAAUCAUAAAUACAUGUUUUGAUAACAGACCAUUUGAAGGAUUUUUUAUUCAGGAUAACAUAAAUAAAUUAUGGAUGUCACAUGGAAGAACAACGGUGCCGCAGCAAAA